CCUACGGGAGGCAGCAGUAAGGAAUAUUGGUCAAUGGACGAAAGUCUGAACCAGCCAUGCCGCGUGAAGGAUGAAGGCCCUCUGGGUUGUAAACUUCUUUUAUAGGGGACGAAAAAAGGGCAUUCUUGCUCACUUGACGGUACCCUAGGAAUAAGCACCGGCUAACUCCGUGCCAGCAGCCGCGGUAAUACGGAGGGUGCAAGCGUUAUCCGGAUUUACUGGGUUUAAAGGGUGCGUAGGUGGGUUGGUAAGUCAGCGGUGAAAUCUUCGAGCUUAACUCGGAAACUGCCAUUGAUACUAUCAAUCUUGAAUCAUCUAGAGGUAAGCGGAAUAUGUCAUGUAGCGGUGAAAUGCUUAGAUAUGACAUAGAACACCAAUUGCGAAGGCAGCUUACUAUGGAUGUAUUGACACUGAGGCACGAAAGCGUGGGGAUCAAACAGGAUUAGAUACCCUGGUAGUCCACGCCCUAAACUAUGGAUACUCGACAUUUGCGAUAUACUGUAAGUGUCUGAGCGAAAGCAUUAAGUAUCCCACCUGGGAAUACGAUCGCAAGAUUGAAACUCAAAUGAAAUUGACGG
rnacentral:rRNA from 1 species